rnacentral:misc_RNA from 1 species
GGAAAGCCCUGGUAUCAUGACAUCAUGGUCUACUGUAAAACCAGAGAAUUCCCUUUGGGGGCAAGCAGAAAUGAAAAGAAGAUGAUUCGGAGGUUAGCAUUGGGGUAUUUUCCCAGUGGGGAAACCCUAUACAAAAGAAGCUCCAACGGUGAAUUAUUGAGAUGUGUGGAUGCAAAGGAGGCAAAGAGAAUCCUUUUUGAAACUCAUGAGGGAAAUUGUGCAACUCACGCCAAUGGACACAUGAUGGCCAAGCAAAUCAUGCGACGUGGGUAU